rnacentral:rRNA from 1 species
AGUCGUAACAAGGUCUCCGUUGGUGAACCAGCGGAGGGAUCAUUACUGGAUACAAGGCUCACGCCCCACUAUCCGCGAGAACCAAACCGAUGUUGUUGCUUCGGGGCCUGCUGUAACGUCCGGUAACCCUGGGCGAGGCGGGCCCCGGGGCCUCCCUUCUAAACCUGUUGUUUUAAUGGCACUGUGAGACAAAAAACAAACCCUUUACAACUUGCAGCAAUGGAUCUCUAGGCUCUGGCAUCGAUGAAGAACGCAGCGAAAUGCGAUACGUAAUGCGAAUUGCAGAUCUCCGUGAGCCAUCGAAUUUUUGAACGCACCUUGCGCGCGCCGGGAUCUUUCCGGCGCGCACGCCCGUCCGAGCGUCAUUUACACCCCUCGAGCUCCGCUCGGCGUUGGCGCAUCGCGGCUGUCCGCGAGCGCUUAAAUUGAGUGGCGGUCCCCUGAACCCCCUUGGCGUAGUCACUAAAGCUCGUCUCGGGAGGCGCGGGGCGGCUUGCCGUAAAACCCCCCAUCGAACCAAUGAUUUGACCUCGGAUCGGGCGGGAUUACCCGCUGAACUUAAGCAUAUCAAUA